rnacentral:lncRNA from 1 species
AACAACUGUGCAGCACUGAUCACACACUUUGCUUUUUUGGGAUCUCACCCUCACUCACACUGCUCAGUGCUGGCCUUAGCUUGUUGGGAUUCUUCAACAAAGAAGAGACAGGCAAUCUUUGUUGAUUCUUUCUCUCUUCCUUUAAGGUGAUUUUGUUUUUGGAAGCAAACAAAGGAAGUGUACAAGAGAGGUAAGAGAUGGAGCUAGACUUGAAGCUCCUGGAAAACAAACCCAGAAUAUAAAACCCCAAAAACAAAAGAAAGAAAGACCAAUAGAUUUAAUUUAAACCAUGAUAAGUCUAACAGCCAC